AAACUUCGGGAGAAGGGGGGCCCAGAGGGUGACGGAGACUAGCGCUCCUGAGCCUGAACGGCCGCAGAGACCAGGGAGAAGCGACUGUUUACUAAAAACACAGGUCCGUGCCAAGUCGCAAGACGAUGUAUACGGACUGACGCCUGCCCGGUGCUGGAACGUUAAGGGGACCGGUUAGCCUCACGGCGAAGCUGAGAACUUAAGCGCCAGUAAACGGCGGUGGUAACUAUAACCAUCCUAAGGUAGCGAAAUUCCUUGUCGGGUAAGUUCCGACCUGCACGAAUGGCGUAACGACUUCUCCACUGUCUCAACCACGAACUCGGCGAAAUUGCACUACGAGUAAAGAUGCUCGUUACGCGCAGAAGGACGGAAAGACCCCGGGACCUUUACUACAGCUUGGUAUUGGUGUUCGGAACGGCUUGUGUAGGAUAGGUGGGAGGCUUUGAAGCUGAUACGCCAGUAUCGGUGGAGCCAACGUUGAAAUACCACUCUGGUCGUUCUGGAUGUCUAACCUAGGUCCGUAAUCCGGAUCAGGGACAGUGCCUGGUGGGUAGUUUAACUGGGGCGGUUGCCUCCUAAAAGGUAACGGAGGCGCCCAAAGGUUCCCUCAGCCUGGUUGGCAAUCAGGUUUUGAGUGUAAGUGCACAAGGGAGCUUGACUGUGAGACUGACAAGUCGAACAGGGACGAAAGUCGGGACUAGUGAUCCGGCGGUGGCUUGUGGAAGCGCCGUCGCUCAACGGAUAAAAGGUACCCCGGGGAUAACAGGCUGAUCUUGCCCAAGAGUCCAUAUCGACGGCAUGGUUUGGCACCUCGAUGUCGGCUCGUCGCAUCCUGGGGCUGGAGUAGGUCCCAAGGGUUGGGCUGUUCGCCCAUUAAAGCGGUACGCGAGCUGGGUUUAGAACGUCGUGAGACAGUUCGGUCCCUAUCCUCUGCGCGCGCAGGAAACUUGAGAAGAGCUGUCCCUAGUACGAGAGGACCGGGAUGGACGAACCUCUGGUGUGUCAGUUGUUCUGCCAAGAGCACCGCUGAUUAGCUACGUUCGGAAGUGAUAACCGCUGAAAGCAUCUAAGCGGGAAGCAUGCUUCAAGAUGAGGUUUCCAUGGGGUUUACCCCGAGAGGCUCCCAGCUAGACUACUGGGUUGAUAGGCCGGAUGUGGAAGUGCGGUAACGCACGGAGCUGACCGGUACUAAUAAGCCGAUAACUUGAU
rnacentral:rRNA from 1 species